GUCUACGGCCAUACCACCCUGAACACGCCCGAUCUCGUCUGAUCUCGGAAGCUAAGCAGGGUCGGGCCUGGUUAGUACUUGGAUGGGAGAAGUAGUGAACAUCAUCUGCACAAAACG
rnacentral:rRNA from 1 species